rnacentral:antisense_RNA from 1 species
UGCAUCUGAUGGUGCUGUUAUGAAGAUGAACUGUUAACUAAAUUGCUUUGGUGGAAUAUGUAUGCUAGGGAAGAGAGCGUGCUGGCCCUUCUCAAAGUGUCCCAUGAAAAAGUUAUUCCACACCUCCUCCCUGAACUUGCUGGGCAGACGCUUCCAGGAUGAACUCCAACUCGCCGAGCCACCGCAGCUUCUCAGCUGACUAAAAGAGUUAAUGAUCCUCCAGGUUAAAACUCCUCCUUGAGCACACACCUUCUCUCAACAAAUGACAGUACUUGGCAAACUGAACUCCUCCCACGAGUCGCCCUCUGCUAGGAGGAAUUUCUGGCUGCUCCCUGCUUAUUGCAUUCUCUCAGAGCAGCUGUCUCAAAGGAGGCUGCUCCCAUGCCGAUCUUUU